GUGCCACGUGUCCCACGUCUCCCAGUGGGAGACGUUGGAUGUCCCCCUGGCCAUUUAAUGAAUUUUGGGUCUUCUUCUUCCUCAUAACACCAAACAGAGAGAGCACACCAAACAGAGAGCACGAAAGGGGUUGCGAUUUUAGGGUUUUCAAGGUUGUGAUUUUGGUGGUGAGAUUUUAGAGAGUACUUUGCAUCAAAACUUCUAUAUCUAUCAAUCACACAUUUGAGAUGGUUAGGUCACUAUUAUAGGGGAAAUGCUGCCCGA